rnacentral:hammerhead_ribozyme from 1 species
GCACUACUGAAGAGUCCCAUACUAGGACGAAACGGCCGUCUAGUGC